AUUGAACGCUGGCGGAAUGCUUUACACAUGCAAGUCGAACGGCAGCACGGGAGCUUGCUCCUGGUGGCGAGUGGCGAACGGGUGAGUAACGCGUCGGAACGUACCGAGUAAUGGGGGAUAACGCAGCGAAAGCUGUGCUAAUACCGCAUACGCCCUGAGGGGGAAAGUGGGGGAUCGCAAGACCUCACGUUAUUCGAGCGGCCGACGUCUGAUUAGCUUGUUGGUGGGGUAAUGGCCUACCAAGGCGACGAUCAGUAGCGGGUCUGAGAGGAUGAUCCGCCACACUGGAACUGAGACACGGUCCAGACUCCUACGGGAGGCAGCAGUGGGGAAUUUUGGACAAUGGGGGCAACCCUGAUCCAGCCAUUCCGCGUGAGUGAAGAAGGCCUUCGGGUUGUAAAGCUCUUUCAGCUGGAACGAAACGGUACAUCCUAAUACGGUGUGCUAAUGACGGUACCAGCAGAAGAAGCACCGGCUAACUACGUGCCAGCAGCCGCGGUAAUACGUAGGGUGCGAGCGUUAAUCGGAAUUACUGGGCGUAAAGCGUGCGCAGGCGGAUUGUUAAGCAAGAUGUGAAAUCCCCGGGCUUAACCUGGGAAUGGCAUUUUGAACUGGCAGUCUAGAGUGUGUCAGAGGGGGGUGGAAUUCCACGUGUAGCAGUGAAAUGCGUAGAGAUGUGGAGGAACACCAAUGGCGAAGGCAGCCCCCUGGGAUAACACUGACGCUCAUGUACGAAAGCGUGGGUAGCAAACAGGAUUAGAUACCCUGGUAGUCCACGCCCUAAACGAUGUCAACUGGUUGUUGGGGGAGUGAAAUCCCUUAGUAACGAAGCUAACGCGUGAAGUUGACCGCCUGGGGAGUACGGUCGCAAGAUUAAAACUCAAAGGAAUUGACGGGGACCCGCACAAGCGGUGGAUGAUGUGGAUUAAUUCGAUGCAACGCGAAAAACCUUACCUACCCUUGACAUGUCCAGAACCCUGCAGAGAUGCGGGGGUGCCCGAAGGGAAUUGGAACACAGGUGCUGCAUGGCUGUCGUCAGCUCGUGUCGUGAGAUGUUGGGUUAAGUCCCGCAACGAGCGCAACCCUUAUCAUUAGCUGCUACGCAAGGGCACUCUAAUGAGACUGCCGGUGACAAACCGGAGGAAGGUGGGGAUGACGUCAAGUCCUCAUGGCCCUUAUGGGUAGGGCUUCACACGUCAUACAAUGGUCGGUACAGAGGGUUGCCAAGCCGCGAGGUGGAGCCAAUCCCAGAAAGCCGAUCGUAGUCCGGAUUGUUCUCUGCAACUCGAGAGCAUGAAGUCGGAAUCGCUAGUAAUCGCGGAUCAGCAUGUCGCGGUGAAUACGUUCCCGGGUCU
rnacentral:rRNA from 1 species